rnacentral:rRNA from 1 species
GAUGAACGCUGGCGGCGUGCCUAAUACAUGCAAGUCGAGCGAACAGACGAGGAGCUUGCUCCUCUGACGUUAGCGGCGGACGGGUGAGUAACACGUGGAUAACCUACCUAUAAGACUGGGAUAACUUCGGGAAACCGGAGCUAAUACCGGAUAAUAUAUUGAACCGCAUGGUUCAAUAGUGAAAGACGGUUUUGCUGUCACUUAUAGAUGGAUCCGCGCCGCAUUAGCUAGUUGGUAAGGUAACGGCUUACCAAGGCAACGAUGCGUAGCCGACCUGAGAGGGGGAUCGGCCACACUGGAACUUAGACACGGUCCAGACGCCUACGGGAGGCAGCAGUAGGGAAUCUUCCGCAAUGGGCGAAAGCCUGACGGAGCAACGCCGCGUGAGUGAUGAAGGUCUUCGGAUCGUAAAACUCUGUUAUUAGGGAAGAACAAAUGUGUAAGUAACUAUGCACGUCUUGACGGUACCUAAUCAGAAAGCCACGGCUAACUACGUG